GUCGGCAACGGAGUAAUGACUGGGAGUGGGAAAAGGGGAAAGAGGGGCGGCACUUGGUUCGCCAGCGGCUGAUCGGCGGAAGGUCGCCAGCGACGGAAAAGGGAAGACGGCGCUGAUCGAUUUUGCGGCUGUUUUCUGGUGGUUAUCCACCGGAUCUGGAGCAAAAGGAGAUCGGAUGUGAUCAUGGCUUGCCUGCGACGACCAGAUCUAUGAGAAGAGAGAGAUCUCGUAGAUUUUUUACCAUUUUCUGACGAAGAGGGUUACCGAAAUCGCGAUGAGAUGGACUAAUUUUGGGUUGAUUACCACGGUUUCCAGCGAGUUGGUUCGCCGGUGGAAAAGGUCGACUGGUUUUUGAGUGGUUUCCGGUGAGUUUCUCGCCGGAAAAUUUAAAAAUUGCUAAUUUCUCUCAUACUCCAUUUAACUAUUGACUUUCCUAUUUCUCUCUUGAUUUGUUUUCACGAGUUUUUGAUUAUCACUCACCAUUCACUAUUUUCUACUUUUUCUUUAUUUUAGUGUGUAUGGAAAUCAGUGAGGUCUGUGAAUAUGUGUGUGUACCGUGUAUUAUUUUGUACUACUUUUAUAUGUGCUAUAACGUUCAUAUAUCAGUACAAACUAUUUCUGAUCUGGUUUACAUGAUUUUAAAUAAAAAUUUAAACUCUACUCAUUUGAAUCAUCAUUUUUACACAAUAAAAAUAUUUAAAUAAUCAGAUAUACAAUAUAACUUAUAAUCACAAUCAUAUCAAUAAUCGAAUUCUUGCAUAUUGAAUGAUACAUGAAGUCACUGAAGUUACUGUAUUAACAUUUAUGAAAGAACAGUACAAAAGUGGAUAAGAACCUGUUGAUAAAUUAAAACAGAAACUCGCACUGUCACCGGAAAUUCGAACAGACUUCAAUUUCAAUGUUUUUCCUUUUCUCCUUUUGUUUCUGAUGUUUACUUUUUUUUUUUUUAUGUUGGUUUUCUAUUUUUUUUUCACUCUCUUUUGUUCUCCCUUUUCUAAUGAAUGAAUUUAUGAUUUUUUUUUGUCUUUGUUUGAUGUCGUCCUCUCUUUUUUAUAUGGGCAGAGAGUCAACGGUUAAAAGCAGAUAAGGGGAGGGGGAAUUUAAAAUUUAAAAAUCUUUUUCCUUUUUUGUUUUUUAGAAAAUAUUAGUAAUAAUAAUAAUACUAAAAUAAAAUUAAAAAAAUUAAAUAAUAAUAAUGAUAAAUAUAAUGUGAUUAAAUAUAAAAAUAUAAUAUAUUUAAUAUCGAUAAACAAAUUAAAAUUUAGGGAUGAUAAAAAAUCACAUGUCUACAAUAAAUCACAAUAAUUAUAAAUUUAAAUUAUUUUAAAAAUAUAAUUGACUAUCAAUGCUACAAAAGUUUAGACAGGGAGAAUGUUAUAAAUCAAAAUAGCUAACAGCUUAAACUAGUAAAUUAAUGCCAAAAAAGUAUUAUAUAUUACAAUAGCUAACAACUUAAAAUAUCUAAAAAUAUAUUAAAAGUAUAAUUGAUUAUCUAAAUUUUAUUUGUGUCACAUAAAUUGAGAUAAAAAAAUGGUAUACAUUGGCUCUGUUCUAGCAUGGGCCCUUUGGUAUCUAGUAAUAUAUAGAAGAGAGAAAGUAAGUUGGUCAGGGUCGUCCUGCUAGCUUGCCGCCUUUCACCUGCUUCAAUCGUCAUUUUACUGUAUCACCCCUAAUUAAUUAGUAUAAGUCAUUUAUAUAUUAAAAAAAAUUAAUAUAUCAGUUCUAAUUAAUUACCGUAAGUCAUUCAAUUAUUAAAAAUUAAUAAUAUUUAAUAAAAAAAAUAAAAUAGACAUAAAAUGAUAAAUUAACUCGUUAUGUUUUGAAUUAACUUGAUGUGUUAUAUGAGAUUAACUUAAAUUUUUUUUUACAAGUAUUUUUUAUAGUAAUUUUGUUAUAUGACUUUAAGCCAAAUUAAAUUUUUUUGCCAAGUAUUUUAAUAGUAAUUUUUUUAUAUCACUUCAAAUUAGUUAUUAUAAAUCAUUUAAGUCAUGUCUGCGUCGUUGCUUCAAUCGUGAUUUUACUAUAUCACCCCUAAUGAAUUAUUAUGGUCAUCUAAGCAUUAAAAAACUAAUAAUAUUUCAUAAAAAAGAUAAAAUAAACAUAAAAUAAUAUCUAAACAUAAAAAAUUUUAUUGACUAUCGAAAUUAUAUUAGUGUCACAUAAUUUGAAAUGAGACAGAGAAAGACAUAAAGUAACAUAUAUUAUUUGAAAAUGCUACAAAAAAUAUUGUAAAUUACAAUAAUUAAAAAUUUAAAUAUAUAUAAAAAAUAUUUAAAAAAUUUCAUCGAUUGUUGAAAUUUUAUCUGUGUCAUAUCAACUGUGACAGAGAGAGUAUUCAUAUCUUAUUAUAAAAUUAUGUAAAAAAUAUUACAAAUCACAUAAUUAACAAUUUAAAAAAUGCAAAAGAUAUAAAAUAUUUAUUUGACUCUUAAAAUUAUAUCUAAAUUCUAUUUGUGUCACAUUAUGAAAAAAAAUAUUUAUUGGACUCGUGCUAGCACGGACGGUCGAUAUCUAGUACUAGAGAAAAGGAAAUGGGCUGAUCUUUUUCAAAAUUUAUGACCCACGUUUGGGCCAUGUGUGCUAUUGGACAUUACAUGGCCAGUCGGUCUAAUAAAUUUCAUAUAAUGGUCAUUUCACAAUUUGAGUUAUUUGGGUCAUUUAUAUAUUUAUUUAUUGCUUCAAUUAUUUCUUGGGCUAAAAGAUUUAUUUUUUUUGUAAAAAAAAUAAUAAUUAAAUAUAAUUUUAUAGAAACUGUAUAAUUAUUAUAUAGAAUAUGUUCUUGUAACUGUGCAGAAUAUGUAUGCGAACUAGAUGUUGGUUGUAUAAAAUACGUAUCUGAAUUAUAAUUGCAGCUAAAUGUUAUAUAGAAUGUGUAUAGAAACUGUAUGAUUAUGAUAAAGAAUUAUAUGUAAUUGUAUAAUUAUUGCAUAGAAUAUGUUUUUGGUAUAUGAUGUGUAUAGAAUUGUAUCAUUGUUGUAUAAAAUAUGUACAUGUAUAAGAAAUGCAUAGAAACUAUAUCAUUCACUACAAAAAAUUUGAUUAUUAGAGACAAAUUAUUUUAUUACUUAAUAUUAUUUCGAGUGGCUAUUCUUGUCCUUUUCCUUUAGUAUUAUUCUAUUUAAAAAAAUAAAAUUAUAGGCUCUUACGAUUACUAUGUAAAUUGUCUAAUAUUAAGUCUGUUUGUUUUCACAUAAUAUUGAUCAUAUACAAAAUUAUUUUCAAUGUGUUUCAAAUUUGGCCAAAUAAAAUUUGUGAGGUAAAAAGUUUUAAAAUUAUAUAUAAUAUAAAACUCAAAAAUAGAAAUAUAUUUUUAAUAUUUAAUGGGAAGCCAUUAAGUGACAUAAAUCAUGGAUAUGAAAAUUUAUAUAUUACAAGAAAACAUUAGAGAAAGGUCAAGAAAAAGUAAAUUUUUUAAUUAUUUUACCUUUGCGGAAAGGUAAAAAAAAAAGUAAAACUUUUAAUUAUUUUACCUUCCCUCAACUUUCAAUGCAUAAAAUUUCCUCCCACUCAUUUCCCAUUUCCCAUCCCACGUUAAGGAAUCCUUCCCCCCCAAUUUAUUUUUUCAAUUAAAAUCUAUCCACCUAAUUUAAGAAUCCGACUCAAAUACAAAUACACACAUUAAUAAAAGGGAUUCCCGUGUGUAUAUUUUUUUUAUCUCUCUCUCUGUUUUGUUUUUGGUUUACAAUUUGUUAUCUCAGUUGAUGUCCAUCUAGCAUUUGCCAAUGCUCAAUGAAGAGUUCAAUAUUUAUUUAAAUUAGUAUAUGGAAUGAAAGCAAAGAAAAUUGAAAAGAGAAGAAAGAGAUUUAGGUAUUGAAGCCUGCCUUCAUUAUUGUCAAAAUCUCUGACCGAUUAGUUAAUAGUCCGUCGGGCAGUUCAUUUUUCUUGUGGAGGUAGCUAUAUUAAGUACUGAUGUAUACUUUCUUAGAUUUAAAUUGAAUGUCAUAUUUUUCAUUCGAUUCUUUCGAUUUGAUGUUUGACUUGUGGAAUUAAACAUUUUCAUUUUUUAUAUAUAAUUAGAUGUAUAAUAUAUCCUACUUUAAGGUCAAUGGAACAAACAUAUUCUAUCACUCGGCUUGUCCCACUUAUGAUAAAUCAAUGUGCAGGUUAGGUACAAGAGAAUAUUUUUUUUUUUUAAAAAAUACUUUGAAAACACAACCUGAAUGGUGGAGUCUUGUUUUAUUUUUGAUUUAUUUUUUAGGGUUUUGGAAGAAAAAAUAGAAAGGAUGUGGAAUAUGGGUCAAAUUGAAAAUUUAAAGAAGUUUGUUCCACCAUUAAAUUAUUUCUUAAAUAUAUUUCACACCCCACUCUUACCUAAAAUACUAUCAAUCAAUUCUCUCUCUUUACUUUAACAACACCCCUUCGUCAUUCCUGAUUCUGUCAUGGGAAAAUUUUAUUUGCGAUUUUGCUCUAUUCCAAAAUCCAAAGGUUGUUCAUCUUCCAACUCAGGUAUGUUCCCUCCAUCUUUUGACUAUUUUGAGCUCCAUAUUGAUGAGUUUUUUUUUUAUAUUUUUGCUUUUUUAAUUUGUCGAGUUGACUUUGAAGGAAAAAUUGAAUUUUUAUGAAGGGGACUUGAUUUUACUAUAAAUCUAUUAGAUUUUUGCCUCGAUUUUCUUACCAAAUUUAAGUUUUACUUUUUCUUGUAAGGAAAAUAAAAGUAACCAUAAAUACUUUUACUUUUCCUGAAAGGAAAAUAUAAAACUUUUUCAUAUUUGGCUAAUCUCUUUCUUGGAGGAAAGAUUUUGGACAUCUAUAAAUAGAAGGUCUCUUUCUCAUACCACAACACAACACUAGCAUCCACAAUGUAGUCUUUUAAGAUUUUCAUUUAGGGGGGAUUUUCUCUCUUAUUAGUUUUAUAUUUUUAAUAUUAGCUUUUAUAUGUAGGCCAAUUGGCCAAAUCAUAUAAUAAAAUUAUGUUUUUAGUAUUGUUUUUCAUUGUCAUCUUAUUUAUCGUCUCAUAAUUUGCAACUAAUAGCUUUCGCAUGACGCUCUCUCGAUUUCGAACCAAAAAGUGAUAUCAGAGCUCACGGUUCGAUAAAUCGAUGGUCCAAUUGUUGAAAAAAGUUGCAAUCAAUUUGAUGAUAAUGAAGAUAUAUAUCCAAAAGCUACAUAUGGAUAUAAUUGUUAAUCAUAUUUUCAACAAUCCUGCUGUCACAUAUUUGAAAAUAAAGCUCACUUUUAACCUUUCAAAAGGACUUUAAUAUUUUUAACCCGAAAAAGGCUCAUAUACUUUUAACCCAAAAGCUCCAUUUUUAAGCAUGUCAAGCAGCAGUGAUGAAGAAUAUGUGAAGAACAAAAAUUAAGGAUGUGAAGAAGGCGGAUCAAGUGAAGAAAAUCAAGCCAAAAAGGGGAGAUUUGUUAGAAUUUUUGCCCC
rnacentral:lncRNA from 1 species